AUUGAACGCUGGCGGCAGGCUUAACACAUGCAAGUCGAGCGGGGGGAGGUAGCUUGCUACCGGACCUAGCGGCGGACGGGUGAGUAAUGCUUAGGAAUCUGCCUAUUAGUGGGGGACAACAUCUCGAAAGGGAUGCUAAUACCGCAUACGUCCUACGGGAGAAAGCAGAGGAUCUUCGGACCUUGCGCUAAUAGAUGAGCCUAAGUCGGAUUAGCUAGUUGGUGGGGUAAAGGCCUACCAAGGCGACGAUCUGUAGCGGGUCUGAGAGGAUGAUCCGCCAAACUGGGACUGAGACACGGCCCAGACUCCUACGGGAGGAAGCAGUGGGGAAUAUUGGACAAUGGGGGGAACCCUGAUCCAGCCAUGCCGCGUGUGUGAAGAAGGCCUUAUGGUUGUAAAGCACUUUAAGCGAGGAGGAGGCUACUUUAGUUAAUACCUAGAGAUAGUGGACGUUACUCGCAGAAUAAGCACCGGCUAACUCUGUGCCAGCCGCCGCCGUAA
rnacentral:rRNA from 1 species